rnacentral:rRNA from 1 species
GCCAGACUCCUACGGGAGGCAGCAGUGGGGGAUAUUGCACAAUGGGGGGAACCCUGAUGCAGCGACGCCGCGUGGGUGAAGGAGUAUUUCGGUAUGUAAAGCCCUAUCGGCAGGGAAGAAGCAAGACGGUACCUGACUAAGAAGCCCCGGCUAACUACGUGCCAGCAGCCGCGGUAAUACGUAUGGUGCAAGCGUUAUCCGGAUUUACUGGGCGUAAAGGGAGCGCAGGCGGCGCGCCAAGUCUGAUGUGAAACCCCGGGGCUCAACCCCGGGCAUGCAUUGGAAACUGGCGGGCUGGAGUGCCGGAGAGGUAAGCGGAAUUCCUAGUGUAGCGGUGAAAUGCGUAGAUAUCAGGAGGAACACCGGUGGCGAAGGCGGCCUGCUGGACUGCGACUGACGUUGAGGCCCGAAAGCGUGGGGAGCAAACAGGAUUAGAUACCCCGGUAA